rnacentral:rRNA from 1 species
GGACCCGCACAAGCGGUGGAUGAUGUGGUUUAAUUCGAUGCAACGCGAAAACCUUACCUACCCUUGACAUGUCAGGAAUCCUUCAGAGAUGAGGGAGUGCUCGCAAGAGAACCUGAACACAGGUGCUGCAUGGCUGUCGUCAGCUCGUGUCGUGAGAUGUUGGGUUAAGUCCCGCAACGAGCGCAACCCUUGUCAUUAGUUGCUACGAAAGGGCACUCUGAUGAGACUGCCGGUGACAAACCGGAGGAAGGUGGGGAUGACGUCAAGUCCUCAUGGCCCUUAUGGGUAGGGCUACACACGUCAUACAAUGGCUGGUACAAAGGGCUGCCAACCCGCGAGGGGGAGCCAAUCCUAUAAAACCAGUCGUAGUCCGGAUUGCACUCUGCAACUCGAGUGCAUGAAGUCGGAAUCGCUAGUAAUCGUGGAUCAGCAUGUCA